CAACAUCAUGAUCCUGUCCUUCAGUCAGCUCCAUGGACUCAGUGCAGUCCACGUUGUCCACUCCUUGUGUCUGGAAACUCAGGAGUACUGGGCACAAAGGUAUAAAAUGUAAGAAGGCGAAUGAGAUCAGGCUUCAGAGCCAGGAGUCAGUUGGUAAGCUAGCGUAUGUGGGUGGCUGCCCUCAGAGUGGGAGACUUUAGACCUGGAGCGAGGUCCGUGUCACACUGUGGCCACACACAGGAGUAGGAGUUGGUAGCUUAAGAGGAUCAUAGAGGACCGAGCACUACAUCUUAACAAUUAUAAACCAGUUGUUUUUUACAUCUCCAGGUAGCAUUCCACUCCUUCAUUUGAAGUUUGUACUCUUUUUACAACAGCAAUGGCAAAAUCUGACUCACACCCAAGAGCAGUGGCAGAGUCAGUGGUGACAGCUUCAUCUCCAUGAGAACUUUGCUUCCAGUCUAGCCUCUCCUGUUAGGGGUUUGCAACAGUGCAUUAUCCUCUUACUUGGGUUGUUUCUGAUGGGAUACAUGGUAAAUUCCAUGGAAAAUUUAAGUUUCCCAAGGAAAGAAAAUUACUAGCUUCCUCUCUUAAAGUCACUUUAUUUUUUGGCACCCAUUUGGUCAGAAGUUUUGCCUUUGGUCCAGAUUCUUUUGCUGUUUCAGCUAUAUUUACAUUGACAUACCUUUUCAGUGUUCCAAGAGAUUUUAGUUUGAAAAGGUUUGAGGGUUUUUUUCUUCUUCUUUUAACAGUGAACUUAGAAAACUUUUAUUUCUUCGUGGCCAAGAAUUUAAUCUAACUUGGCUUGAAAUUUAGUUCUGUCUUAUUUCUAAUGUGUAAAACAGAUUUUUUAUAUAAUACGUAGGUUUUGUACUUUCAUAAAAGAUUAAAUUUAUAGAAGAAUAAAACUGAAGUACCUGUUUAAUAUAUCUUAAAAGAAGGUAAAGAAAGAUUGCUGUAAAGAUAGAAUUAAGUUAUUUCUCACCAGGCGCAGUGGCACAUGCCUGUAAUCCCAGUGGCUGGGGAGGAUGAGGCAGGAGGAUCUUAGAGUUCAAAGCCAGCCACAGUAUUUACUAAGGCCUUAGCAACUCACUGAGACCCUGACUCUAAAUGCAAAUUAGGGUUGGGGAUGUGGCUCAGUGGUUGAGUGUCUCAAGUUCAAUCCCAGUACCACCACCCCCCCAAAAAAAAAAGAAAGAAAGAAUUUCUCUGGUCUGUUGUUACUUAAAUUCCUGAAAGUGCAUUUGUCAGAGUCUAGUUAUUUGCUGUGUUUCCCUGAGUCCUUCCUGUAGAUAUGAGCACAACCCAGAGCACCCUUUAAAAUUAUGUAUGGAUUAAAUCAACACUAGUUUCCAAAUGUGGUCUGCAGAUUUUUUGCCUUCCUUCCCAGGCUUUCACUUGGGUAUCUGUGCCCAGGUAGGCUCUUUCCCGGUGUCUCUGCAAGGAUGCCCCAGUAACCUGCAACUUCUGGAGACUCGCU
rnacentral:lncRNA from 1 species